UACAACUAAGAGACCUGAAGGAAAAUCUGAAUAUUCCGCAGGAGAUCAAAAAGAAGGCAGAGGUCCAGGAGAGGCACUUGUGUCAGCUUGCGGGUCAACUGUGCUAAGUCCUCCCUAAUGGCGCUUUCACCCGGGGUUCCUAUUCCCCCUGCCCUUCCAUUGGGUCUGCAGCGUGGUGGAUCGACCUGGAUCUUCUACUGCCUUGGCUGGUGCGCUUAUGGGUUACUACAAAGCUCUUAUUUACUCACUCUACAGG